ACUUCAGUUCAACAGCCAUCUGAAGCCCACCUGUGAGCUGGUCCAGGAAAUGAUGGACUCUGAUUUCCACACCCCUUUCCUGUGAACUUGUCUCCAAUUUAGUCUGUCAAGGUCCCUUUCUUAUUCCAGGACCACUGAAACCAGCUGAGGCAUCCUGAAAGCCUAAGAUUGACCACACCAGAGGAACCAGACUGCCCUUCACAAGCAUAGCACACAGCCAGAAAUGUUAGCAGAUGGCUUAAAAUCCUCCACUGGCACCUCAUCUCCUAUGCAACCAGUGCCAACCUCUGAGACUGCUCUGAGACUUCCCUCUGAGGCUUCUCAGGUAAUGAGCAAAGGGAUGUAAACAACCCAAAAUUGGCAACAGUGACAACAGGAGGCUCUUCUGGCUGAGCUUCUGCCAUAUCGUGUCUGAAGUCCCAGCUGUUCCCCUGGAACCAUGUGGAGGAAUCACUAAUUCUCUCGACUUUGCUUGUCAGCACAGCUGGCCACACAGCCAGGCCCUCCAUCUUUCCUGACUUUAUUCUGGUUGUGAAGUCAUGCUGGGAUGGUGUCACCCUCAAAAGACUAAGGCAGAAGCCACCCAGAGAGUCCUCAGCACUUCCUGGGCAUGACACCUCAGCCAUUUUUCCAGCACUGCUAUGCCCACAGCAAACACCCCUUGUCCUCUGGUAGGAACCAAGACCUUCUCUUCUCUGCUCUUCCCAGCUCCAGAGAGGUCAGGUUGGGCCCAGGAGAAUCAUGGAGCUGUGGCUAAACUCAUACACUAUGGAGCCAGGCUACACUGCAUACUAAUUCAGAAUCUGCCACUCAGUGGGAAUGUGGUCUAAAGUUAACUUUACUAAGCUCUGUAUUUUGUGUUUUGUUUUUCUUAUAAAGGGUGAAUACAA
rnacentral:lncRNA from 1 species